CACUGUCACUCCUACGGGAGGCAGCAGUGGGGAAUAUUGCACAAUGGGCGCAAGCCUGAUGCAGCCAUGCCGCGUGUGUGAAGAAGGCCUUCGGGUUGUAAAGCACUUUCAGUCGUGAGGAAGGCGGCGUCGUUAAUAGCGGCGUUGUUUGACGUUAGCGACAGAAGAAGCACCGGCUAACUCCGUGCCAGCAGCCGCGGUAAUACGGAGGGUGCGAGCGUUAAUCGGAAUUACUGGGCGUAAAGCGCAUGCAGGUGGUUUGUUAAGUCAGAUGUGAAAGCCCCGGGGCUUAACCUCGGAAUAGCAUUUGAAACUGGCAGACUAGAGUACUGUAGAGGGGGUAGAAUUUCAGGUGUAGCGGUGAAAUGCGUAGAGAUCUGAAGGAAUACCGGUGGCGAAGGCGGCCCCCUGGACAGAUACUGACACUCAGAUGCGAAAGCGUGGGGAGCAAACAGGAUUAGAUACCCUGGUAG
rnacentral:rRNA from 1 species